UACGUAGGGCGCAAGCGUUAUCCGGAAUUAUUGGGCGUAAAGAGCUCGUAGGCGGUUUGUCGCGUCUGCCGUGAAAGUCCGGGGCUCAACUCCGGAUCUGCGGUGGGUACGGGCAGACUAGAGUGAUGUAGGGGAGACUGGAAUUCCUGGGUGUAGCGGGUGAAAUGCGCCAGAUAUCAGGAGGAACACCGGUGGCGAAGGCGGGUCUCUGGGCCGAUACUGACGUGAGGAGCGAAAGCGUGGGGAGCGAACAGG
rnacentral:rRNA from 1 species